UACACUUAUAUCCUGCAACACUAGUACACCAUCAAGGAGCAAGUUGAAUAUUUCAGAGCCAGCAAUGAAAAAGAAAAGGGGAAUGGCAAAGUUAGUUGCAAGGAAAAUAACAUCCUUCAGACUCUCCGGUGAACGAUUUGAUCUUGCCCAAAUUGAGAAGCAUUUUCAAAUGUCACUUGAUGGCAAAGAAAAGGAGUUCAAGUACCUUCUCAUCGAGAGAUUAGAUGGAUGGAAAAUUGAUUGCAAGAAACAAGCGACUGGGAAAGUGCUUGAUAUGUAUUAUACACAUGAGAUUUUCAAGAAGUCGUUCCGAUCAGUUAAGGAAGUAAAGAAUUUUAUAUUAUAUGAAGUUGAUCCAAGGAAAAGGUAGGAGGAAAAUAAAUGCAAUCCAAAUGAAUAUCCAUUGGUACAUAGACAAUAUUUCUUUGGCAAUUU